CUGACUUCUGGAAAGUGUCCUUUAUUUGUUCCCCUUUGUAAGGGUCAUUUAGGAGGGCUCUUUGGCGUGAGCUGGUCUGAGCCCGCCUAUUUGAAAUGCUAUUUGAAACACUGAUGAGUCCAUAUGGUGAAGUUCAAAUUCAAAUAUCACUGUACGCAAGUGACUAAUACUACUUUACGAACCUCUGCAAUGAGCAUUCUCUAAACUACUUGGAUUAAAAUACGUUUUCUGGCUUACACACACCACUUUUGUACUGUUACGGCCUUUGGCCUGUUUUUGCUUGUUUUCUUGCCCCCCCUUUAUAUCAGACGUAAUUGCUGUCACCUGAGAAGAAUGGUGUUUAAAUAGGAGCUUCGCUGUUGGAUUGCUCUCUCUCUUCCUGCUGGGUUCCGGUGGCUAGGAGCUUGAAUGCUGCUCGGUCGACCUGUUCAGGCCCAUGCCUCGCUCGGGACGCCCGCAUUCCUCACAGAUGCACAUUUGACUUUAUUUAAGUUUGUCUUCUAUGUUACACUUGCACUCAUACACCUCAUACAUCCAUACAUUUGCCUUACAUUACUGAUAUUGACAUUCACACACCCCAUAUUUGGGUUUUGUUGUUUAAACUUGUGUUGGAUACACAAUAAAUUUAUGUUUUGCACCGUUUGUUUGUGGCAUGGUCUCCUGUCUCUUGUUAUGGCUCUGAGAUAGUCGUAACAGUACAAAACACUGGAUGGAAUAUUAAAUGCAGAUUUUGCCCUCUGCCCACGUGUCAGCAUACUAGGAACCUUUUUUUUUUUAUGAAUCUGUUAGAUUAACCACUGCUUUAGCCAUAUUCUUUUAUGUACUUUCUCUUAUUCUGUACUAUAUUUGGUUUACUGAUUUUAUUAAUCUGCAUGUCUUCUGUUUUUGUAAAUUAUUUUUUUAAUUAUUAACAUUUAACAAAAAAUCACUAAGAGUGUACAGUGAUUACAGUUCAUGUUCUUUAUAUGCCAUGCUUCAUAUACUUCAGACCUAUUUCUAAUUCAUAUUUCC
ensembl:lncRNA